rnacentral:rRNA from 1 species
GAUGAACGCUGGCGGCGUGCUUAACACAUGCAAGUCGAGCGAAGCACUUGUUUGGAACCCUCCGGGAGGAAAAACAUUUGACUGAGCGGCGGACGGGUGAGUAACGCGUGGGGAACCUGCCUUAUACCGGGGGAUAACAGCUGGAUACGGCUGCUAAUACCGCAUAAGCGCACGGCACCGCAUGGUGCAGUGUGAAAAACUCCGGUGGUAUAAGAUGGACCCGCGUUAGAUUAGCUGGUUGGCGGGGUAACGGCCCACCAAGGCGACGAUCUAUAGCCGGCCUGAGAGGGCGACCGGCCACAUUGGGACUGAGACACGGCCCAAACUCCUACGGGAGGCAGCAGUGGGGAAUAUUGCACAAUGGGCGAAAGCCUGAUGCAGCGACGCCGCGUGAGCGAAGAAGUAUUUCGGUAUGUAAAGCUCUAUCAGCAGGGAAGAAAAUGACGGUACCUGACUAAGAAGCCCCGGCUAACUACGUGCCAGCAGCCGCCGUAA